AUAGUAUAUCUUUUUGUUUUUUUGAGACAGAGUCUCUGUCAUCCAGGCUGGAGUGCAGUGGCGUGAUCUCGGCUCACUGCAACCACUGACUUCCUGGUUCAAGUGAUUCUCCUGCCUCAGCCUUGCAAGUAGCUAGUAUUAGAGGCACAUGCCACUACUCCCAGCUAAUUUUUGUAUUUUUAGUAGAGAUGGGGUUUAACCAUGUUGGCCAGUGAUCCACUCACCUCAUGAUCCACCCGCCUUGGCCUCCUAGAGUGCUGGGAUUACAGGUGUGAGCCACUGGGCCUGGCCAAUAAUGGUAUAUAUUAUAAUUAGUGGAUCUUAGAUUUGAGGAGACACAGCAGUCAACUCUUGUUCAUACAGAGUUAAGUGAAAGAGUGCACAUUUUGGAAAAACAAUUCACUCUGAGAAAAUGAAAACAUCCGCAUUCUGGAAAGUGUGUCUACUGUUUGCAGACACUUGCUAAUCAGGAGAUGCCACAUGGCUGCUGGGAUUAGGGAAAGGCCCUUUCCAGUGCUGUCAUUUAUGAGAUCACCAGAAUUCCUUGCAUCUGAGAAUUCUUCUUCCAGAGAGCAAACAGUGGAUGAUCUCCCAGGGGAACAGGUGUAGCUGUGAUUCAGGACACAGACAGGGAGGAGGAAGUGAGAGGAAAGGAAGGAAUUCAGGGAUAUUUGCAGCCACAAUUGGGUCUUACCUCUCACGUCCUUUUUGAACAAAGUUGAGGGUCUUGCUCUGUCACCCAGGCUGGAAUGCAGUGGAGUGAUGUGAUCUUGGCUCACUGCAGCCUCAACUUCCUGCGCUCAAGUGAUCCUCCCACCUCAACCUCUUGAGUAGCUGGGACCACAGGAUACAGUCAGUGAUAUGUGGACAUGCAUCAAAGCUUUCUCCUGCUGGUGACCAUCAUAGCCGUCCAAUGACCAUGACAUCCACCACCUCGCCUUUGUGGAGCUCCACGUACUGUUCUGUCUUUGGAGG